rnacentral:rRNA from 1 species
UGGGGAAUCUUGCGCAAUGGGCGAAAGCCUGACGCAGCAACGCCGCGUGCGGGAAGAAGGCUCUCGGGUUGUAAACCGCUUUCAGAAGGAACGAAACUGACGGUACUUUCAGAAGAAGGUGCGGCCAACUACGUG